rnacentral:tRNA from 1 species
GGGUCGUUAGCUCAGUCGGUAGAGCAGUUGACUCUUAAUCAAUGGGUCUGAGCUAACGACCCA